rnacentral:lncRNA from 1 species
AUGGACACGGACAUGGUCAGCAACAAUACUCAGGAACAUGCUGGGAUCCAUGCCGGCCAAAACCUGCUGCUCCACUCCACAUUCGAAGAGACCAUGCCAGGCCUGAGCUCACACUCGUACAUCAGGAAGGAAGGAUGGAUGACGCGAUCACAUCCUGAAAGUGAUUUGACAGACACUUUAGGCAGAAGUGUGCUUAAUUGUGUUAAAUGUGUUGAUAUAUAUAUAUAUAUAUGAGUUAACCUGUGUUUGUGGUUUAGGAUUAGUGAAGCUUGGCUGUUUUAGUGAUUUAAAACUAAAUAAAUAUAGCAUUUUAAACUAAAGUUCAAAUCAAAUUUGUUACAUAUACUGCAAUUCAUUGGUAACACUUUAUUUUAAGGUGUCCUUGUUACAGAUGUUACAUGUACGUACUAUUAUAUUAACAAUUAAUUAUGCAUAAUUACAUGAUGCAAGUUAACCAUAAGCCGAACAAUAAUGCUAACCCUAACCAUAUAGUAAGUACAUGUAGUUUUAAAAAGGACACCUUAAAAUAAAGUAUUACCAAAAUUGCAAAUAAUAUAAUAUUCCUGAAAUAAGGCUACUUAAGUGACUUAAAGAGAGACACUUUCAUUUCUAUGUUUCUUAACACACUUAAGUACAGUUUUAAAAAGUGCAUUUUGUAAAUAAUGUCAAUUUAUUAAGUCCAAUUAUUAAAUAUUAAGUCAAUUUUUAAUCAUUUUUUUAAUAUUUUGUCAUGCUUUAAGGAAGUACACUUAUUUUGAUGUGUUGACUAACAUACUAAAGCACAUGUAAAGUACUUGAUUAGAAUUUAAGUGCAUUAUAUGAUUUUACAUUGAAAAUUGAUAUAUUUGAACUAAAAUAACUAAAUUGCAACUGCAUUACUAAGGUGCAUUUUCAAAUAUAUUUAAAUACAUGAUAUACAAGUUUCAACAGAAAUGGCAUUAAAGUAUAUUUUACUUUAUGAUAAAUUCUUGUCAGUACAUUCAGUAACUUUAGUCAUAUUUUAAAGCCAAUAUAAGUAAUUAUGAAAUUACUUAUAAAGAUGUACUGAAGUCCUACUUAAUACAGAUUCAUAAAUUUUUAAUGGCAUGCAAUUAAGUGUUUAAAAAAAUAUUAUAUUCACUUAUUUUAACAGCAAAUUAUGCAUGCAUUACAUGCAACUAAACCAAGCCCUAAUCCAAACCCUACAGUACAUACUUGUUGUUAAUUAGUAUUACUCAGUACUUAAAUGAAACUCUACACUGUCAAAAGGACACAAAAGGAUACCAUAAGUAUAUUGCUAAAGUCUGCUUCAUUUUCAUAAGGGGUAACAUGAGAAGUGCCACAAAAUAGUUCCAGCAUUACUCAAAAAAGCACAAGCUAGGACAGAGACCACAUUAUCAUCCCUAUGUGAAGCAGGAUAAAACAUUAUAAAAAUAUGUAAAGUCUGUGUAUGUAAUGAAGCUUAUGGAAAUGAGGAACGCUAGUAGACAUAGUGCUGUCUGUACACCUGAGAGUGUGGGAAUAUGAUAUUAAAUGUUUGGUCUGCAUUAGUGUGUCAGUAUAGUGAUGGCAGUAUUAGCAAAACUGGCUCUCAUUACAAACAGUAUUCAUAUUUUAUAAAAAAAAAAAAAAAAAAUAAGUUUAGUCUUUUUACUAUUUUUUAUUUCAUCAAACUAAUUUCAGACUGUUUAUGAUCUUUCCCAUACUUGUGAUGUUAGAAUAACAUGACUCUGACAUUACACAUGUAGUCUGAAUUACAAAAUAUGUAUAAAGUGGAUAGUUCCAUGUUUAAAGUCUGUUGUAAAAAUGCCACUUUUAUUCAGACAAGGCCAUGCAUAUUAUAACAACAACAUUGUUUCAUAGGUAUAACAUGCCUCUAAAGUAUUUUAUAGGUAUAACAUGCCUCUAAGUUAUUUUUUUUAUUUUAUUAUAUAUAUAUAUAUAUACAAUUCACUGCCUUUUCCAGCUGAAAUGAACACUAGAGCCAGUAAAACACCAAAAAAUUGUAUUCUUUUUCACAUAAAUUAUGAUUACAUGGGCAGAUUAGAGACAAAUAAAGACAUAUUUUUGUGUAGUUCCUUGCACAGUUUUAUGGCCUCAAAACAUAGUGCAUGAUUUGUAAACUAAUACAUUUUCACUUUUGCAUCACAUGAGCAGCUCCAUAUGUACCUUUUUUUCUGACAUAGUAAAAUUGCUUAUUAGCACACUCAAAGACUUAGUAGAAACAAGCUAAAUGGCAUGGUUACUUCAGAAAAUGUGCUUUUAUCUUUUGUUUAUGCUGUUGGUCAGGUUUAGGUAUGUUGCAUUCAAAUGUGAACCUUUAAGUUAACACCAGUUAAUUUCCAAACUGCCAUGAAGCCGAACAAACCGCAAAAUUAACCAUCGCCAGAUUCACAUUGAAACUGAAUGUACUUUUAGUGCCACUCGCUGGAACUUUCAUUUUGAACGUGUCACGAGCAUCCUAAUUUUCACAAAAUCAUAGUUUUUCCAAUGAGCCUGGUUUGGAUAAUAAUGCGCCAUCAUAUUACUACUUUUACUGUCAAAUAUAAAUAGCCUAUACAGUUAGUCUUGAACUGCAUUUCUUGCCAGAACAUUCUCAGUAACUAUAAAGUGUAAUUUUAUACUGAACAAAGUAUUUAAUUUUUUUUUUUUCAUUUUGCCACCAUGUUAUAAAACCAAUAUCCAACUCAAAAUCAUGCAGUGAAUAUGGUUAAAGGAGUUUUAGGAUAAAAUCAGUGUAUCGCACAACCUUAAGUGGCUUGUUGAUGUAACAUUUGUCUGGAAGAGCUGUUUUGAGCUAUGCACACUAGGCUACAUAACUUUACAUUGUAUUUACAGUUUGGAGUCCAAACAACAAAUCAUAUCUCGAGCCAUUAGAUGCUUAUUUUGUAGAGUACAAAACUUAAAACUAUUACUAUAUAAACUUCUCACACUGGCUUUGAACAGAAUGGGGGUUAUGGAUGUGUGUGUGUGUGUGUGUGUGUGUGUGUGUGUGUGUGUGUGUGUGUGUGUGUGUGUGUGUGUGUGUGUGUGUGUGUGUGUGUGAGCGAGUGUAGAGUAGUCGUCGUGAAUGCUGUGACCCUGCUUUGUGCUGCAGAUGAGAUGAGAGGGGGACGAGAGCCUGGCCCUCUACGCUGUGACAAAACGCCACACGGCUUUGUGCUGCUCCCUCGGGACGAUCGCGGGAGGAGACAGUGUGGAGGAUCCCAGAACAAAAAAGACAGAGUUAAAGUGAUAGAGAUAUAUUGACAAAAGAUUGAAAGGAUGAAGAGCGAGAGAGAGUGACCCGGUGAAGCACUGACAUUUUUUUUUUCAGAUACUGUUAUGAAACACUGUGGGGGAAUACAUUCAAUACAUUCAACAUUAUUGUUAGAAUGACUGACACAUUAAGGUUUUUUGUGAUUGUGGUUAUAUAACAUAGCACUUCUCUCCCAUGCUACAUUCAGACUGUAAAAACAUUAAAUGCAUUUAGGAAAUGAUGAAAUCUUUUAUAUAACCUGCAAAUUUGCUCUUUUUAUAUAGGGUAAAUGGCCAUUAAUCAAGCUUAUUAAAAACUAAUUGACCCAUUUUUGCUUCUGCUAACUAGUCGGUUAAAUUUAGGGUAGGCGGUUCAGUAUUAUAGAGCAUUAAAACUAGAGCAAACUGCCAUGAUAUGUACAACAGCCAACAGGAUAAAAUGGUGCUGGAUUGAGUUCAUCUAUUUCGAAUAAAACUGAACAUAGAUUUUAGUGCCAUUUCCAUAGAAACUGGCUUGUAUAAUAAUAUGCCAUUAUGUUAUUACUUUCCAUAGCAACCAUAAACAGACUGUAGUGU